UUCAGGUCAAAUGCGCUGCGUAGGAUUCAGCUUUGCAGUGCUUGCAGCAUUACAAUGGGCUGUCUUAAGUACUGCCGAAGAGUUGUCAAAUAAAUCAGAGUGUGUGAGUUCAGGAUUUUUGCCGGAAUCGCUUCAAUGUGGUUCUUGUGGCGACUUGGGUAAAUUUGGAUUGUCAUCAUUGAAAGAAAGUUGUCUAGAUUGCUGCCACGGAGACUCCCUUGCCAAUACGUAUCACAGUGCAGUCAUCGAAGUAUGCAACUGAAAGUUGCCAAAAUUCCCCCAGCUGGACGCCUUUAUAAAGACAAAGCUGGACAGUAAAGCAUUUCCCCAGGUCAAAGUAAAGUACCUCCGAGGGAAGAUGCCUUUGCUGAAACUUCUUGAUGAGAGUGGAGGAGUUAUGGAUGAAUUGAACAUAGAGAAGUGGGAUACAGACAGCAUUGACGAGUUCCUGAGGGAAAAGUUUCAGUUAUAGACAAAAGUUAAUUUUAAAUACAAUCAUUUAGCAAAGUUCUCUCACAGCCAUUUUUGAGGAGAGCCAUUUUAAACUAGUUUGGUGAGUUUUAGGCAAAACUCCAAUUUAGAAAGCGGGAGUGCUGCGGCUUCUAUUUGUUCUAUAAGAAUUGAUUUGAUGUUUUGCAAAAUCAGAUGAGUUGAUUGUUGAUUAAUUUGCGUAAACAGAUGCCGUUAAUUCUCUUCUAAAAUAUUUAAGCAACUCAUUUUCCGUCAGAAUCAACUGCAAAAAAUAUAAUAUUUUAUUUUGAAAUUUGGUUGUUUGACGGAAUUUAGCUGUUCAAGGCAAAAGUUUUCAUCUAUUGGGUUCGACAAAACAUGAGCUGUUGUGAUUUCAUUACUUUACAAUCAAAUACUAUGAAAUGGGCAAAACCCGAAAUAAUUCCAUUCCUCCAAAUUGAAUAUGGGCCCGAAACUCACCAAAGGAUUAAUAACUAUUAGCUUUCUGUCGGAAUUUUAAGCAACCGUUUUGAUAGCGGUUUUGAGCGCAACCCAGUAUGGCUAAAAGUGCAUCAAAGUGUUGGCUCUCGAAAAGUACUGUGCGAAUACUUUUGCUAUAAGACGCGGUGUUUAAGUGCAGUUCAAAGAGUUCAUCUAUUCAGUUUGACCUAUUUUGGGUCUUCGUUUUUUUCGGUGCAAAGGUUAUUUAUUUAUUGAAGUGUACAUAUUUGUUCUAAUAUUGAUUAUUAAUGUUUGUAGUUAAUGUAAAAACUUGAUGAAAGGUUUUGGGUUGAUUUUGUUGGUUUUUUAACUCUAUAUUUGAAGCAACGUAUGACGCCUGCUGAAAGAACCUCUUCUGAGGACUUGGCAGGCCGAACAGGAUCUUUAUCCAUGUUUCAUUUGAACAGUUAUUCUCGCCAGAAGUCUCAAUUCAAAUCAUUUUCACUA